rnacentral:rRNA from 1 species
UACGAAGGGGGCUAGCGUUGCUCGGAAUCACUGGGCGUAAAGCGCACGUAGGCGGAUUGUUAAGUCAGUGGUGAAAGCUCCGAGCCCAACUCGGAAACUGCCAUUGAUACUGAUGAUCUUGAGUACAUUUGAGGUGGGCGGAAUGUGUCAUGUAGCGGUGAAAUGCUUAGAGAUGACACAGAACACCGAUUGCGAAGGCAGCUCACUAAACUGUAACUGACGCUGAGGCACGAAAGCGUGGGGAGCAAACAGG